GACGUAGGAUGCAAGCGUUGUCCGGAAUUAUUGGGCGUAAAGAGUUCGUAGGCGGUUUCUUAAGUCUGGUGUUAAAGACGGGAGCUCAACUCCCGCAUGGCAUUGGAUACUGGGAAGCUAGAGUGUGGUAGAGGUCUCGGGAAUUCCAGGUGUAGCGGUGAAAUGCGUAGAUAUCUGGAGGAACACCGGUGGCGAAAGCGCGGAGACUAGGGCCAUAACGUGACGCU
rnacentral:rRNA from 1 species